AAUUAGAAGAAGAAGACAAAUUAGAGUUCUUAGCUAACAGCUACCAACAACAGUAUAGUGACUUUAAAAACAUCUGGGAUCUAGUUUUCUUUUUGGAGAAAGACGAACAGUUGGAAGACAAACCAGACAAAAUAAAGAGGUUUGGAAAUCUUCUGAACCAGAAAGCAAAACGUGCCUUUCUAGAUGGGUUGGUUACAACUUCUAGAAAGAGGAAAGGUAUUAUCACAUUAUCAACAGCUUCAUUACUGUCACCACCACCACCACCAUCAUCAUCAUCAUCCUUAUAUUAUUUAAUUUUGUAUUUAUUUCUUUCUUUGUUUUUUUCUUCAAACAUACAUUAACAUCAUGAACAUUUCAUUACAUGUCAAUAAACAUUAAAACUCAAUAUUAACAUAUUAAAAUUUAAAUUAAAAUAAAAAAAGGGAAAGGGGGAAUUUCUGAAGCACAGCUUAUUACAUGAAAAACCCCUGAUACAAAAAUAGUAAUUUAAUAAAAAAUAUAUACAGGCACACUGGCA